GGGUCAGUAGGUUGGUCGUGCCACCGGUACGUACUGGUCUCACUGAUUCCUCCUUCCUGAAGAACCGUAAUGCCAUUAAUUUGGUGUUGCGGGGAAACAGGACUGUUACUUUGAAAAAAUUAGAGUGUUUAAAGCAAGAAAACGCUUGAAUACAUUAGCAUGGAAUAAUGAAAUAGGACGAUCGAUCCUAUUUUGUUGGUUUCUAGGAUUGACGUA
rnacentral:rRNA from 1 species